UCUUACUACCGUGAAGUGGAAGCGAGGUGUCUGAGGCCCCAUUCCUUAGGGAGACCAUGCAGAGGUCCUGCACUGACCCAAGUUAGGUUUGACACAGUCCAGCAGGCCAGGGUCCUGGCCAAGUGGCCACAGAGGAGGGAAUGACGUAGGCCACCCUCCCUGAGCUCGUACAGCCCCAUGGGGUGGGGGGCUAGGGCGUCCCUUUCAGCACCAGGUUGGAUGCAGGGACCAACCUACAGCAUAAAGCUUCCGGAAACUAAUUCUC
rnacentral:lncRNA from 1 species